AUGUAGCCAAGGAUGAAUUGCCGGCCGGCGUUUGUCGAUGGUACUCAGCCGGAGAUCGCGCGAUUGAGCCGGCAAGUCAUUUGUGGCUACGU